rnacentral:rRNA from 1 species
GAUGAACGCUGGCGGCGUGCCUAACACAUGCAAGUCGAGCGAACGCACGGGAAGCUGGCUCUGCUGAUGAUAGCGGCGGGCGGGUGAGUAACAUGUGGAUAACCCUCAUCUUAGACGGGGAUGACUCCGGAAAACCGCUGCUACUACCGGCGCAUAUUUUGAACCGGAGGGUGCAAGAGAGAAAGAGGGCGUUGCGGGCAGCUAUAGACGGAUUCGCGCUGCAUUAGCUAGUUGGUAAGGUAACGGCUUACCAAGGCAACGAUGCAUAGCCGACCUGAGAGGGUGAUCGGCCACACUGGAACUGAGACACGGUCCAGACUCCUACGGGAGGCAGCAGUAGGGAAUCUUCCGCAAUGGGCGAAAGCCUGACGGAGCAACGCCGCGUGGGUGAUGAAGGUCUUCGGAUCGUAAAACUCUGUUAUUAGGGAAGAACAUAUGUGUAAGUAACUGUGCACAUCUUGACGGUACCUAAUCAGAAAGCCACGGCUAACUACGUG